rnacentral:rRNA from 1 species
CCGCGUGGAGGAUGCACAUUUCGGUGCGUAACUCCUUUUAUAUAGGAAAAUAAUGACGGUACUAUAUGAAUAAGCACCGGCUAACUCCGUGCCAGCAGCCGCGGUAAUACGGAGGGUGCAAGCGUUGCUCGGAAUCACUGGGCGUAAAGAGCGUGUAGGCGGAUAUAUAAGUCAGAAGUGAAAUCCAAUAGCUUAACUAUUGAACUGCUUUUGAAACUGUAUAUCUAGAAUGUGGGAGAGGUAGAUGGAAUUUCUGGUGUAGGGGUAAAAUCCGUAGAGAUCAGAAGGAAUACCGAUUGCGAAGGCGAUCUACUGGAACAUUAUUGACGCUGAGACGCGAAAGCGUGGGGAGCAAACAGGAUUAGAUACCUGGUAGUCCACGCCCUAAACGAUGCACACUANUUGUUGUGAGCUAGACUUGCAGUAAUGCAGUUACACAUUAAUGUGCCGC